rnacentral:rRNA from 1 species
GAAGGAUCAUUACUGAAAAACUAUUUUAAGUUUUUUAUAUCCCAUUGUUUACUUACCCUGGUUGCUUUCACUGGACAGAUUUCACCUUGUGUGGGUCCUUUGGCUUGUGUGAAAUACCACUUGCCAAAGAGUUGCCAGUGGUAAGACCUAUUUAUCAAAACUUGAGUUUCAAUAAACACAACUGUCUGAAUAUUUUUUUUCUUUAAUGAAAUAAAACUUUCAACAACGGAUCUCUAGGCUCUUGCAUCGAUGAAGAACGCAGUGAAAUGCGAUAAGUAAUGUGAAUUGCAGAAUCUCGUGAAUCAUUGAAUCUUUGAACGCACAUUGCGCCCUAUGGUAUUCCAUUGGGCAUGCCUGUCUGAGCGUCAGCUCCCCCUCCACUCAAGAAUCGUUUUAUAUGAUACUUGGAUUACUUUGGAGAUGUAACUGUAUAUUAAGUUGCCCUCCAGAAAUUUAUUGGCGGUAUGGUUUGUACUUGGACCAGACGUAAUAGUAGUGGGGUCGUUUGUUUGGGUAUAAUUGAUUGUACUUGCCUUGACCGUCCCGACCCAUUUUUAUUUUGGGUGACCUCAGAUCAGGUAGGGAUCCCCCCCGCUGAACUUAAGCAUAUCA